rnacentral:lncRNA from 1 species
CGCAACAAUGGUGACACACUGGGGCAAGGGUUCGAACCCAGCGGGAAUCGCAGUUGCGACACGGCUUUCCCGUCGCUGCCGUCAUCAGGGCUGUGAAACGGGAGGUUGAGGAGAGUCCCGCCCCCCCAUCGCACACAGGUCCGCCGGUCCUCGAACCGUCUCGGGUCUGGUGCUCCUGGACGCCGCGACACGCCUGUGCAGGGAUCCAGGGAGACUGACUCCUACACGCGUGUAGCGCUGUGUGUUCUCUGCGUGUCCUGUGCCACACGCUGCUGCCGGAACCCCUCGUGUUCAGCGUUUCUUACGGGCCGCGAGUCGCUCCCGACCGGUCGCUCCUCGAACCCGACUCAGCCGUGCGGCACGGCUGUCGCACCGCAGUUCAGCGUGUGAGCGUUUGUGAGCGUGCGUGAGCAUGUAGCUCCGUGUGCGUCGGCGCGUGUGUACACGCGUGUCAACUCACAGCGCAGGAUCGAUGAACGAAUCUCACGCGGCAGUUUGUUUCCUGGCUCUCAGAGCUCCGCUGCUGGGACUUCCUGGGGGGGUAGCGGUCGCUUCCUGUCGGCUCUCGGCAGGAUGGCACCCGGAGCCGCGGCCGGACCCGUCGUCCCACGGAGGCCCGCCGGGACUCGCGACGCGUCUCCACGGCAACUGCUGCGGCCUGUUCCGUUUCCUCCGGUGUCCAUCGGGGCGACCGCUCGUCACAGGGGACGCGACACACGGGACACGACACACGGGACGUGACUCCACGCGGCUCAGGGUUCCGCUGGGGGGGUCAGGAGACAGGCUGUGGCCCCCGAGUUCUGCUGAAAGUCCCAGUGAAGCCACACGGUCCGGACUGGUGUCGGAACGACACGAGGAUGGGGAUGAAGAUGAUGAUGAAGAUGAAGAUGAGGAUGAGGAAGGUGGAGCUGAGCUCCAGUGGCCCUGUGUAUCGUCUGGUUUUGUUUCACUCUGUACACCUGCUGUACGCGUCUCUUGUUUACUCUGCACACGGAGGUAUAAACAUGCCUGAUGGCUCAAGACCACUAUCGGUUUGUGUGCGUGUGAGUCUCCUCCACCACUUUCACUUUCUCUCUCAGUCCUUCUUUCCCUCCAGCUGAUCACAGGGGUUUCUGGGGAAUUUUGCUCUCAGCGCGCACACGCACGCACACACGCACGCACGCACACCCGCACUGCUGGGAAACACACAGCUCCUCCACCGUCCAGAGGGACACACACCAGGGAGUUUUUGCGUGACGCCGGAACCCGCAGAACUUUCUGACUGAACUCAUGGGAAUCCCGCUCUCAUUUGCAUACUCAGUUAGCACUGCUGACACAAAGUGCUGCAUGGUAAAACAAGGUUUAAGAAACGCUGUAAAACACAGUUAUAUGAAAUCUUUUGCACCCGCCCCCCCUCCCAUUGUGU